CAGUGAAGAGCGCUGGACGUGGGGCUCGAUCUCGCCCCGAGAUCAUGACCUGAGCCGAAGUCAAGGGUUGGAUGUUUAACCGACUGAGCCACCGAGGUGCCCCCAAUCCUUUUAUUAAUUUUUUUUAAUGUUUAUUCAUUUUUGAAAGAGAGAGACAGAGCACAAGCAGGGGUGGGGCGGAGAGAGAGGGGGAGACAGAAUCCGAAGCAGGCUCCAGGCUCAGAGCUGUCAACACAGAGCCCGAUGCGGGGCUCAGACUCACGAACUGCGAGAUCACAAUCCGAGCCAAAGUCGGAUGCUCAACCCACUGAGCCACCCAGGCACCCCUUUAAUCCUUUUAUUAGAUGAGAGGAACCACCAGAAAUGAUCAGGGGCUGUGGUCUGGAAGUUGGGUCUGGGCCCAGUAUGUUGCUUAUUGGGGAAGAUUCCGUGUAAGGGUUUUGCUGGGCCUCCCUGCUGGAGACCCUCGGAAGUGGGAGCACCUGGGCCAAACCCCUGUUCACUGCCCUGCUUCCACCCUGACCCCUUUCUCUUACCUUGGUUUCUUUUAUUGCAGGGAGGACACCUAAUGAGACCUUAAAUCCUGGCACUGGUGUCAUGGUGAGGGGGCUGGGAGAGUUGGAAUUGUUGAGGGGGGGAUAAUUCUGUCCUCUGGGCCCUGUCCCCUCUCUCCCCACCCCAAAAUGAGGAAGAAACGGGAGGGGUAGUGUGGAGCACCUUCUGCCUUGCCCCCGGGGACCUGGUGGCCUCUUUCAGUGCCUGGCCUCUGGAGGGAUCUGGCUCGGGAGGAGGGUCCCCACAGUGACCCCGGGGGCUCUGAGCUGGACUCCAGAGUCGGACUGCAGAAUGAGGUUCAUUUAAAUUUUUAAAAAAUGUUUAUUCUUUUUUUUUUGAGAGACAGAGCAUGAGCAGGGGAGGGGCAGAGAGAGAGGGAGACACGGAAUCCAAAGCAGGCUCCAGGCUCUGAGCCGUCAGCACGGAGCCCGAUGCGGGGCUCGAACUCACAAACCGCGAGAUCACGACCUGAGCCGAAGCCAGAUGCCUAACCGACUGAGCCACCCAGGCGCCCCUGAAUGAGGCUCAUUUAGAGUCGGUAGCAGCAGAGCUCCACCGGGGCCAUCCCUUGUGAGGCCUCCCCAAACCACGCGUGUCUGUAUACAUUCAAAUUAAUUGAAACUCAGUAAAUCAAAGGUCAGUUUCUCAGGGGCCUGAGUCACAUUUCUCAAGUGCUCAGUAGCUACGCAUGCUGGGGGCUGCUCUUUUGGAAAGCACAGACAGAGAACAUUCCCACCAUCGCAGAGAGCUCGACCAGACCAUGCUGAGCUAGAGGAUUCUGAAAUUAAAAGGCCGUUAGGUUUCUCAGGUGCAAUGCAAGUCUUGUUUUAGCAACUCGUAAAAGGAUUACAAAGUGCUUAUGUGAGUCUUGGGAGGGGCUCUAGGGAUUUCACGAAAAUUAUGUGAUGGGUCCCAAACUUUUGAUGCCUUAAAUAAGAAAUGUAGGAAGAACUCUCCCUAGAGCCCAGAGAUCGUCUCUGCAGCCACUGGCGGCUGAAGUGGCGAAGAGAGCCAAAGCCUGCACUCUGGCAUUUCUCCAAACGUUAGAAGCGAGGAAAUGUCUGCUAGGGUGGCCAUGUGAUCCCUGUCCCGGUCACAGCAACGACUCACUGUUGUGGGUACGGCACAAAAUGAGCCGUGGAGAUGGCCAAACAGAUGGGGCAUGGUGGCGUGCCAGUGAAACUUGAAAAGACAGGAGGCGGGUCGGGUUUGUGGAGGCCUGCUGUGGAGACAGUGUCCCGAACGUUCUCCCUUCCCCGGUGAUAACCAGUUGUCCUGGAGGUGGGUUUUGCUGAGCCAGGAUACGUGUGUUGUUGUAGGAGUCAGUCACCUUUGAGGAUGUGGCGGUGGGGCUCCUCCGGGAGUGGGCAUUACUGGACGGUGCGCGGACGAACCUGUGCCGAUACGUGAUACUGGACAAGUGCAGGACUCUGGUCCCCAAGGACUGGGACUCUCGACUCAAAUCCCAAGCGUCUCCUCCCGUGCAGGAUAUUUUGGAGGGAAAUUCAUCCCCGGGUUUGCACAUGGUAAGAUUCACGGGGGCUCGUCCUUGUUCCCCCUCUCGGGAGAAGGUGAGGAGUAUGUGGAUUGCAGGGCCAGGGGGCCGUGGGGGGGCACUUCCUCAAGGACAUUCCCGCGUGGUGUGAAACGGGUGCCCAUGGCUCGUGAAUUUGGACAAGCCCUGCCUGACCCUCGAGACCCUUUCUUCCCGGAAGGUUCCCCUGAGUCAACACAUCUGUUAGCGGGAGUCAGACAUCGGUCGUGUGCAGUGCGCUUUGCUCCUCAACAGUCACGGGAAACUCCUGCCUGCUGGAGAAGCCCCAAGGAAGUCGGGAACGGGAGAGAGCCCGCACUGCCCUGGAGCCUGCAGCCGCCUGAGCGAGGCGCACGUCUGAGCACGCUGCAAAUGUGCCUCGGCGGGGAGGGGAGCAGCCCUGGGCGCUUCAAGGGUGUCAGCAAGGUUGCCCUCAUCGCUCACCCGCUGCCAGGAGCAGACUCUGCCCGGAGAGCGGAUUCGGCCACAGCCCGAGCACCUUCAGGAGGAACUCUAACCUGGACCUGACUGAGACAGCCCGGGGGGACAGCCACCCUGACUUAUGCAAAGGAUGUGAGAGCGCUCUCGUGGAUCGCUCCCCACUUAGGGGACACGUCGAGAUCCCACGCUGGAAAUCAGCCCUUGUCAAAGCGUGGAAAAGCCUUCAGAGCCGGCUGGCGCGCCCCAGUGCACCAGGGAACACGCAUCGGGCCCCCUGACCCCCCCCACUUUGGCCCUGACUUCCUGCCUCCCCGAACUACAGGAAUUUCCAAGGUGGAGAAUGUCCUCCAGUAGCUGCUUGGGAAAGGGCGUGUUGCUUUUGAGGCCCUGAAAAUAUGUGAAAAUAUCUUACUGGAGCUGCCAGCUUGCAGGGGCCUCAUCUGGCAGGAUCGUUGUGGUAACCCCAUGCAGAACAUUCUGUGCAUCGUUGCAGAGCCCUGGACUAAUGCUUGUGCAGUGAAGGAAUGAACACGGGUACCCCAGGCUUUCACUGCCCCCCCGCCCCGCCGAGCAGAUGGACCCUGUGAGGGAGGGAGCGAGGAUGGCCCACAUCUGUCCUCUCCAGUUUCUGUGGGCUCUUUCCUCUUAGUACGGGGUUCCAGCACCUUCCGCAGAGCUCCACCUUCAGCUCAGAAGCGAGCACCGAGUGUGGGAGAGGAGAGGCUUCUGCUGCAUCGAGCCCCAGGAAGCAGGCGGUCGCAGAACGUUCUGAGCGGGGAGAGGAGGGCCACUCGGACACGCACGUGCAGAAGUUGAGUGGUUCGUCAUGAAGACACGUAGCCCGUAAGUGGUACGGCCACGUUUGGAGCUGGGAGUCCAAUCCAGGCCUGCCGCAGAGGUGCAGAGGUAGCCACCGGGACCUGCUGCCCGGGGUCACACAUCCUGCCACGCGGCUGAAGGCGCUGACUGUUGGGCUCGUCCUUCCGGGCUUCAGUGGGCCUUGUCCCGACGACUGAGGCCCCCAUGGCGGCCCUGAGGCCUCCCCGUCAUGGCUAGAUAGGCCAGGGGAGGGCACGAGAGAGCUGGGGACUGCUCGCAGAAGAGUCCCGAGAGGAGGCUGCGGAAGGGGUGUCUCCGGGCUCAGUCCUUCUACCGUCCCAGCCGCCCUCCCCCGUGCUGUGUCUCCUCCAUGCUGUUUCAGGGCAUGGGGAUGUUAGCUUGUGCGAGUGCUGGAGAAGGGCAGCGUUCAGAGGACGGGCUCUGGAUGGCAGGGCAGAUGUAGCCCAGCUGUGGCCCGUAGGUAGGCCCCGCGAUUGAUGGAUGUCAAAUAGACAAACACAGGCUAAGAAAACACCGAACAACGUUCCUAUUCAGAGCUAAGGGCUCCCAGCCUUCCUUGAGUGAAGCACGUUGCAGUGUCUCUGAGGGCCCGUGGCCUGACCUGCAGUCGGGCCCCCCACCCCAGAACCAGAAAGGGUCGGGUCCACCUCGGCGUCUGUGGCAUGAUUGUUCCUUGAGACCCUUGGUGGCUGGUGCUCACCAUGGAAUAGGGGGAGUCACCGGAUCUGAAGCUGCCAGACCUGCACGCCUGACUUCUCACAGCCCUAACCCUAACUGCCACCAAACUGAGGGUCCCUCGGGCCCAGAACACACUCAGUGCCGCCUCUGUCCUGCUCCGUCCCCUCCUUGCCUUCUCCUAGGGGCUGGGGCCAGACCUGAGGAUGCACAUCAGGCCCACAAUUGGAGACAGAGAGACACCUUCGAUUCCAGAGGACCAGCUAUCUCUCUGGCUGUCACCUGGUCUUCUGGAUAUGUAGGGCGGAAGGCGGCCGCGCAGAUUCAGAGGGUGGCUGUGCCGGUGCCUGCACUGAGUCUCCCUGAGCUGAGGAUGGCUGGGGCUUCUGCUCUGCUUGCCCAGGACCCCGCCUGGCUCCGGAAGGAGAACACAGAGGGGGAGUCUGCGGCUCCUGGGAUGCUGCUCAGCUGUCCGCAGGAACCAGUCACCUUCGAGGAUGUGGCUGUGUUGUUCACUCCGGAAGAAUGGAUGUUUCUAGACUCUGCCCAGAGAAGCCUGUACAGAGAUGUGAUGCUGGAGAACUAUAGGAACGUGGCCUCUGUGGGAGAUCAGCUCGGCAAAUUCAGUUCGUUUUCCCAUUUGGAGCAAGGAGAAGAGUGGUGGCCGACGGAGAGAAGAGUCUUCCCGGGAAGCUGUCCAGAACCUUCGCUUCCACCCCAAGGUUCAAUUCCUAACCAAGAUAUUUUUGCAGAGAUUUCCGUUGACAUGGAAAGGGGGCGGCCUCAGACGGGAGAAAACCUCUACGAACGUAGUGCACUCGGAAAACCCUCGCCCGGCGUCCGACCGCUUUUCCAGUACCAGAGCAUUCGUGCUGGAGGCGACCCCUGCGAAUGCCCAGAGAGCAGAGGAUCCUUCUUCCGGCCCGCUCGGCUCCUGGCGCCUGAGGAGAUCCGCCGUGGGGACAGAACCUUCGCGUGUCGCCAGUGCGGGAAGUCCUUCAGAUACAGCUCCGACCUGAUCAGGCACGAGAAGACCCACACCGCCGAGAAGUGCUUUGAGUGUCAGGAGUGUCGGCAGACCUUCAAGUACUCCUCGAAUCUGCGGCGUCACCUGAGGACUCACACCGGAGAGAAGCCCUUCGAAUGUGCCCAGUGUGGGAAGACCUUCACCAGGAACUUCAACCUGAUCUUGCACCAGAGAAACCACACGGGCGAGAAGCCCUACGCGUGCAAGGACUGUGGGAAGGCCUUCAACCAGCCGUCCUCCCUGCGGAGCCACGUGAGGACUCACACCGGCGAGAAGCCCUUCGGGUGCAGUCAGUGUGGGAAAGCCUUCAGGGAGCACUCGUCGCUGAAGACGCACCUGCGAACGCACACCCGGGAGAAGCCGUACGAAUGCAGCCAGUGCGGGAAGCCCUUCCGGACGAGCACGCACCUGAAUGUGCACAGGAGGAUACACACCGGGGAGAAGCUGUACGAGUGCGCUACGUGCGGCCAGGUGCUGAGUCGCCUGUCGACCCUCAAGAGUCACAUGCGAACCCACACCGGAGAGAAGCCCUACGCGUGCCCGGAGUGCGGGCGCGCCUUCGGCGAACCUUCGUCCCUCCGGAAACACGCGAGGACCCACACGGGCAAGAAGCCCUACGCGUGUCAGGAGUGCGGGCGCGCCUUUGGUCAGUCUUCACACCUCAUCGUGCACGUGAGGACCCACACCGCAGGGAGGCCCUACGCGUGCAGUCAGUGUGAGAAGGCCUUCAGGCACAGCUCUUCGCUCGCCGUGCAUAAAAGGGUUCAUGCCGGGAGAGAAAGCGCUCAGAGCGCCGGCCUGCCUCUAUCAGUGUCCCAGCCAUAUGUCGGGCCCCUUGCUGAUUAAUGUUCGACUUUUAUUUUUUUUAAUUUAAUUUUUAAAUUAUCAGAGAGAGAGAGAGAGAAUGCACGUGCGUGGGGGACGAGCAGAGAGAGAGAAUCUUUUUUUUUUUUUUUUUUUAGUAUUUAUUUAUUUUUGAGAGAGAGAGAGAGGGAGGGAUUGCGAGCGGAGGAGGGGCAGAGAGAGAGGGAGACACAGAAUCCGAAGCAGGCUCCGGGCUCCGAGCCGUCAGCACAGAGCCCGACGCGGGGCUCGAACCCACGAGACGUGAGAUCACCACCUGAGCCGAAAUCGGUCGCUUAACCGACUGAGCCACCCAGGCGCUCUGGGAGAGAGAGAAUCUCACGCGGGUGUGGAGCCCGAUGCGGGACUCGAUCCCACAACCCUGGGAUCAUGACCUGAGCCGAAACCAAGAGUCGGACGCUCAACCGACUGAGCCACCCAGGCACCCUCCAAGUUUUCUAAAAGUACAAACGUUCCAGGCUGUCAUCCUCUCUCGUGGCACUCGUUUGGCCACAUUCCAUGUUUUGAUGUGUAAUAUUUUCAUUUUGGUUGAAAUCUAAGUAUUGUCUUAGUUUCUGUUAUCACUUAUUCUUUGGCCCGUGAGUGAUCUGUAAUUAGAUUUUAAAACCAUGGGAUGUGGAUAUAUUUUUCCAGAGGUAUAAUUACUCCUAGCGAAAUGCAUAAACCUUAAUUGUACAGCUGGAGGAGUCUGACAGGUUCGUACGUAUGUUCAUGUCACCAACCCGCCAUUCAAGGUAUACAACAUUUCUAUCAUUCCAGAAAGUUCCUUCAUGUGUAUGGGUGUUUUUUUUUGUUUUUUUAGUUGCCUUUUUGUUGUUGGUUUUUAAUUUAAUUACGUUGUGAGCAGAAAAUGUGGUCUUUAUGUUAUCGAAUAUUGGGUAUCUGUUUUGUUUUUAACGUGGCAUAUCCUGCUAGUUGCCUAUCAAAAUUGCCCCUUGUUCCUUAAAAAACCACUUAGGUUUUUCUUGUUCGGGUUGGUACGAUGCGCUCUUGAAAAACCCCGUACCUCCCAGCCUCCUCCUUGCAGCUAGGGGACGCCACGGCCCCCCCCAGUCCCGGCCAUUCUAAGUAUGAGAAGUCAUUGGGUGUGAUUCCGGGGAAGGAUGUUGCAAAGGAACGUUUAGCCAGAUCCCUCCACUUCUUGCCCUUUGUACAAACAGACAUGAUGCCCAGUGCUCGAGAAGCCAUCCUACGGCCAUGAGGGUAAAGGCUGCAGCUGAAGAGAGUGUAGCCAGACCUCACGACCAUCCUGGCUCCCCAGCUGGUAUCUUUGUGUGGCUGCCCCGGACUGUUUGUUUCUGGAUAUCUUGUUACAUGGAAAAGGUUUUGCUGUCGGGAAUAAAGCUUCUGUGGAUGCUCUUGUGCAAGUCUUACGGUGAACCAGUGUUCUAACUUCUCUUGGGUGCAAGCCUGGAGUGGAAUCGCUGGGUCAUCACGUAGGCAGACCUUGAGCUUUGGCAGAUGCUGCCAAGAGGUUUCCAAAGUGGCCGAAACAGUUUAUGCCUCCGUCAUCAGGAAAGUUUCGUUCGCUUCACGUCCUGAUAAUGCAUGCUCCUGUCAGUUUGAUUUUAGCUACGUCAGUGGAUGUGUAAGUGGUUUCUUGUGUUUUACUUUGCACUGGGUGUGCGCGUGCGUGUGCGUAGAUAACGAUGUAGUAGAUGGUGGCCACGAUAAUUCCUCCUAUGUCUCAGUGUGCAUCUCUUUUCAGGGUGGGUUUUGUUGUUCCCUCACAUCAAGAGGUGGAGUUUAUUUCUCUAGCCCUUGAAGAUGCGCUUGAUCGCACGACUUUCUUUGGCCGAUGGAACGUUAUCAAACAUGGCAGGAGCAGACGCUUGAAAAACACACGCCGGGGUUUGCCCACUUGUCGUUACGGUUCGAGUCGUAAGAGCAAAGUGUGAAGACACCUGGGCCAGCCUCUCCCCUAGGACGCGAGCGUCCUUGCUGACAGCUGGCACCACCCACAGGCAGGCGAGUGAGGCCAUCUUGGACCAUCCAGCCCCAGGCAAGCCAUCAGGUGACCUCAGUUGCACGAGUGACCCUAGGUGAGACCAUCAGAAGAACUAACUGCCCAGCUGAGUUCAGCUCAGAUUGCUGACUCACAGAAUUAGGACAGAAUUAUGAGCACAUAAGGUAACGGACACAGGAGUGAGCGAUGGGGACAGGGCGCUGCUGUAGCAAACAUUUAAAAUGUGGCAUUGACUUUGCAACCUGGCAGUAAGGCAGCAGCUGUAAAGGGGUGAAGAAAUUUCAGCCGGAAACGUGAGGAAACUGCCAGACGUUAGGAAAAGGCUAUGUGGUUAUGUGGUAUGAGAACCACUGGCAAAAGUGUUGUUGUGGUAACUUGGGGAAGAUAGGCCGUGAACUUGUGGGUCUGGUUGAGGAGUGUGGUGGGGGGAGCUUCCCCCCAUCUCUGGCCCUCCCCCCAGCCUUCCUCAUGACCUCCUGAGCCCACGUUGGACGCCUAACCGACUGAGCCACCCAGGCGCCCUAUCGAGGUUUAUAUUUUUAUAACGGUAUUACACGAGCGGCCGUGAAACUGGAGGCAGACCGUACGACCAGGGGAGCUAAGCAGGGUAGGAUUAAGUCACCUCCCAGGAUUAGGAGGAUUAUUUUAUUUUAUUUUAUUUUAUUUUAUUUUAUUUUAUUUUUUAUUUUUAUUUUUUCAAUAUAUGAAGUUUAUUGUCAAAUUGGUUUCCAUACAACACUCAGUGCUUAUCCCAAAAGGUGCCCUCCUCAAUACCCAUCACCCACCCUCCCCUAGGAGGAUAAUUUCAGACUGAAUCCCCUGAAAGUUGAAAACCAUCCUCCGGAUAACUCCCUCCGGGGUUUUAACCGUUCCAGGUCUGGAUGGGGACAGGAGCAAUCCUUGUCAUUUGAUUUGUGAUCUCUUGCAUGAUUUUUUUUUUUCUCAUUAUCUAUUUGUAGGCAGCAGUUCCUAAGGUUAAAUCUUCCACAAACACCUCUCUCAGAAGCAAGCAGGUAAUCUAAGGCCAUGUGAUUUUGAUAAUGGCAUUGUGCAUUUUGGUUUGUUGCUUAGCUAGUAAGUUAAGAGCUCUGGCAGCUUCACUGGUUAUAACUUUUAUAACUGCUUGUAGUCUGAUUAUGCGGUUUAGCAUGUAGAUGGGAGCACGAUGGCCCCAGGACCCGUCCUCUGUCCAGGUGGCAGGGCCAUCAUAUUGGAUUUAUGCUCGGGGGGCCAUUCAUCAUCUUUUUAGUUGCCAAUUAGUAAGGCACACCGCUUUCUUUGAGUCUCCCUGUCCCCAUACACUUGAACUCCCAAAUGUUUCCUUCUGGCAAGUGGGAGCAGGAAGAAAGAUGGACGAAGAGUUCCCACCGUGUAUGACCCUGACCAGACUGAGGGAAGUACUAUAUAGGCUUUCCUUCCACAUAUCCAGGCUAGUCCACCUGGGACCCGCCAUUUGAUGGCUGUAUGGACCUUGUCCCAGGCCUCUCGGAGAUGAGAGAAGUUAGACAAGGGGUGGGGAUCUGGCUCAAGGUGAUCUGGGGUCCCCCACCAUUGGGUUUUCUGGACAGUUGAGUUAUAAAAUCUUUGGCUUAUGCAUGUAAAGUUUUAUUUAUUUAUUUUUUUAAUUUUGUUUUUUAACGUUUAUUCAUUUAAAAAAAAAUUUUUUUUAACAUUUAUUUAUUUUUGAGACAGAGAGCAUGAACAGGGGAGGGUCAGAGAAAGAGGGAGACACAGAAUCCGAAACAGGCUCCAGGCUCUGAGCUGUCAGCACAGAGCCCGACGCGGGGCUCGAACCCACAGACGGCGAGAUCAUGACCUGAGCUGAAGUCAGAUGCUCAACUGACUGAGCCACCCAGGCACCCCUCGCAUGUUAAGUUUUCAACAGAGACAACAAUGAACUUUUUCCCCACCAGACAAGACAGUUUUUCCCAAUAACUGAACUUUUGAGAAGCCAAACUCUGGUCGUAGGACUGGGGUAUUUUGUUUUACUAUAAGGUUUGUGGGGAUCCAAUUUUCUAGUCUCUAUGGCCAUUGUUUCCCCGUGUUGGUACCAGCGAAGUAUCCGAUCCACAAAGGGAGGGUGAGUGUUCAGAGAAACCUCUCACCACGUUUCCAGCUGGCCGGGGUGGCCUCGGCCAAUCCUAUGGCAAAGAGCAGAGCAAGAAUCAUGAUAAUAUCGAGAAACGAGGCGUGACAGUGCAUCACAACAAGGAAACAUACAGAAAAUAACGACGGUCUUUUGUUUCUCCAGACCGCCGAUUCCUCAAGCUUCUGCCGUGUGUAGGUCAGCUUCUGGAGUGACUAAAGCAGGGCUGCAGUCUCCUGGCGCCUCUGGAGUUGCAGAACCUUCCGUAUGGUCAGUCUGCACAGCAUUGAUGGGUCAGGAAUGCACUCCCAGUUUUGAGAUGCCGGCUUCAGUCUGCUGUAGCGAAUCCAGGGACCCACGUUGGCCACCUUUCCAGCGGUAGGGGUGGACAAAAUGACAGUGAACGGGCCCCUCCCGAGGGGUUUUAGCGGUUGGGCAUUUCACUCCUUUAUCCCUAUCGCAUCUCCUGGUUUAAAGGGAUGAGCGUCUGUGGUCAGAUUCAGAUAAUCGCUCCCUGACCCAGGGGUGUAAGGUGGUUAGGGUAGAGCCAAGGGCUCGCAUCUGUUGUCUCAGGGUUAGAUGGUCUAUCUCAUUUAGAUCCCUCCCCCAUGCCCUUGAUAAUGGGGGAGGGGCGCCCAUAAAGGAUUUCAUAAGGGGAGAACCCCAUCCGCUUCUUCAGCCUCCCACCUGCAUCUGCCCUCUGCCUCCCUGAAGGUCCCUUCUCUCUCCCUGCCUAAUGUCAACCCUUUCCCUAUUUAUUUCUCUGCUGGAACAGGGCCUGGAACCGCUGUUAGGGAACAGGGGCAACGACUGUUCUGGCUUCUUCAGGCUGAUAAGGGACGGUGUGGGGGUACAGCAGUUGGAGUCUACCCAAGGGGUCGGUCGAGUGGCCCAUAGUAUGGUUCUGCAGGAAGGCUGGCAGGCAUUAGCAGACACAGAGAAAAACACAAAGGAAAAAUUAUACUGACCAACAAGAUGGCAUCUUAAGAUCAUGUCUAUGGUUUCCAAACCUGUCAAACAACCUUUGUAAACAACACAUGUCAGGGAAUCUCUCAUGACCCAGGUGAUGGAGAAGCAGGAGCGGUAAGUAAUCAACGGUGGCUCUAUUUCCAAGAGUUUGGCCUUAACUGAAUCACGAAAAAUUUUUAAAUCAUCUAUUGCUUGUGAAGUGUUAUCUAGAGUUUUGUUGAGUAUAAGCAGACAGUCUCCUUUAUUUUGAGGUGUAAAACUUUUCCACGAGCCAGGACUGCUACCAGAGAAAGAGUCAAGGCAGCCAUUGACCAUUAUUAAUUUGAAAAAUUUUUAGGUAAGCCGAACCUGGUAUUAUUUGAUAAAGCAGAACUUUCAUUACUUUCUGUGCCUUUUUUGUCUUGCAGGAGAAGGCCUUUACUCAAUUAGUAAAAGUAUCACCCCAUACCAACAGAUGCUAGAAUUCCUUCGACCUUGGUAUAUGAGUGAACCUAAUUGUCAGUCUUUUCUGGACAGCCUCCAGUUUUUGAUUGCCUGGGAGAGCAGGUUUGUGGCUGAAAGGAUUGUUUCUAAGACAUACUUCACAGGCUGAUCCUGCUGGCAGAACUGUCCUUGACAAAUUUUUUUUCCAGUAAACAUCCAUUGGGCCAUUUGAGAAGUUUUGUCCCUCCCCAAAUGAAAGGCCUGAUGCUGUGUUUUAAUGCUCUCUUACCUCUGAGAGCUUGGCAAGAGUCAUUGCCCUGCUCUGUUUGUAACCAUUCCAAGGGCUGGAGACAAUGUCUAGGUGUCAGAGCCCAGUUUAUUAACUUUUUGGGGGAGAGUAGGUCGGCUUGAGUCUCCUUUAAUAAUUGAUAUAGCAGCAAACUAUUUUCCUGAACCCUGGUAUCUACAGCCUACAAUAUCCAGUAAUUUUCCAAAACUCAUACAAUUGUUUACCUGCCCUGGAGUUGGUAGCACCAUAAUCUCUAAUUUAGUUAUAAUGUCCCUUUCUAGGAAGGGAGUAAGGCUCUCUGGCAUUAUCAGGAAAGAACGAGAAAAAAUUAGGUUUCCCCAUAGACAUCCCAGGGGCUGAGGGAAACAUUUAGUUAGAAGUUUUCCAGAGAUGGCCCUAAUCGUCCUGCUGCAUUUGGAUAGUUGGCCUGGAGUGGAAAGGAGGACAGAGAAGGUCGCUCUGGUGUCGAGAAGGAAAUCAACCAGUUUUGCUUCCCUUCUAUAUUUAGGGUUACUCAAGGUUCUGGGUUUCUGAUAGACAGUUGGGUUAGGGGGGGCCACUGUGAAGAGCCCCAGGCCCCGGUUAAUCCCUUCCAGGGACAUUGUUAUCUGAGCCCUCACAGAUAGAGGUCCCCGUAGGGCAUUCAGAUCUCCAGUGAUUGGCUCCACAUAAGGGGCAUGGCUUAUGGGGUUUUCAUUUUGAUUGUCCCCUCUGAGGACAUUCUCAUUUUAGUGCUCUCAGUGGCCAUAUAAAUGGCACUUGGUGCCAGGACCUCGGGAAGCCCGAUCUCACAUAGUACCUAAGGCCACAACUAAGGCCUCAGAUUUUUUUAAGCCUCCUUUUCUGUUUUUUUUUUUUAUUUUUUUAUUCUUCUUUUGAUCUUGGUUGUAAUAUACCCAAUUGGCAGCUCGUAACAGCUCCUCCAGGGUCCCUUCAAGGCCAACAGCCAAUUUUUGUAUUUUCUCUGAAUAUGUAGGGCUGAGUGAGUGACAAAUUUGUCCUUUAAAUCAUCUCAGCCUUAGGGUGUCAGGGGAGAUAGCCAUAUAUUUAAUGAGAGCCUCCCUCAACCUCUCCAGGAAGGCCACUGGGUUCCCAUUUUGUGUUUGUAAAAUAGUGGCUAAUUUAGCAUAAUUUAAAGGCCAAAUCUAGAUUUCCUUAGGUUUUUUUUUUUUUUUUUUUUUUUAUAAAGCAUCUGUCUCACUAAGAGUCUGGUUUAACAAAAGCAUUGUGUCUUUCCAGGUCAAGUCAAAAACAUACGUAAUAUUCUGAAAAGGCUUUAUAUACUUAGUCAAUCAGAAAAUGUACCUAGAUCUCCUUUUAUCUGUCUUAAACCUUGUAAUGUAAAGGUUUUUUUCUUCUGGCAUUCUAGCUUCUUGUAAGGGAAACAUGCCUGUUACAUUAUGGGGAGGGCCUGGAUAAGGUGGGUAGCAGGGAGCAGAAUUGCAUUAUUAUUAUUAUAUGUAGAUUAAAGACCUGUGGA